AUUCCGAUCAAGUUUUUAUUUUCCAAAUCGCUUCGAAGUUCUCUCAUCCAUCUCUUGGUUCGAUUCAAUCUCAUCCUUUGAAAACCCUAAUUUUGUUUGGAAAGAUUAAGCUAUGGGAGGUCACGGUGGUUUGAAUAUUCUUCCACAGAAGCGGUGGAAUGUUUACAACUUCGACAAUCGAGAAAAAGUCCGAAAGGACGAAGAAGCUGCCGCUAGAGAAGAGCAGAUCAAACGCGAGGAAGCUAGAAAACGAGAUGCUGAAUCUCGUCUCGAAGUGCUUCGUAACGUCCGUGGCUUGGCACCUCUGAAACGAGCUUCUCCGGAGGCAGAGAAGGGUAAGGAUGAAGCAGUGGUGGUGGCGGCGGCUGUUGUUAAAUCCACUGCUGUUGUUGUGGAGAGUGUUGAACCGGAGGAGCCUAAGACGGGUCAUAUAAAUCUAUUUGAAGGGAUUAGGAUAUUUGAUCCGAUUGAGAUUCCGAAGAAUGAUAAGCCUGCGGAGGAGGAAGAUCAGAGAAGGAAGAAGAUGAGGAAAGAAGCUGCUGCAACGGCGAGAGCUUCUGCGAAAGAUGCUGCAGCGAGAGCUGGUGAUCCUGAUGAGGAGAAGUAUAGAUUGGGAUAUGGGGUUGCUGGUAAAGGUGUGAAGCGUCCUUGGUAUCUUGAGAAACGGAACGGUGAUGAUGAUUGUGUUCGUGGUGAGGAUGAUGAUGGUGGAUAUAGAGGUGACGAAGCUAAGAAGAAGAAGAUGAGUGGGAAGAAGAGCUUGAAGGAGUUGAGAGAAGAAAGGUUGAAGAGGGAGAGGGUUGAGAAGGAAAGAGAGAGAGCUCUUUUCAUGAAACAGAGCCAGAGAGACGGUGGUUUUUCCCGGGGGCGGUGAUCAAAUCACAAGGAUGACAAAGAAGAUGAAAGAAGACUUGAUGCAGAGAUCCAAAGACGGUGAUUAAAUCUUAAGGAUGACAAAGAUGACUUGAUCUAGAUAUUCAAAGGUGAUUCCACGUCUGAGAAGCCCCUUUUGUCAUAUAUGUGUGUAGAGAUUCAUCACUGUUGUUGGCGUUGCCUUACUCUAAAGCAGAUCUAUUGGGCCUUUAAUUAUUAAAAUAUCACUUAAUGGGCUCAAUGGGCCUUAAAGUUAAAAAUAAAUAUCAAUAAUUAGACGA